rnacentral:rRNA from 1 species
AUUGAACGCUGGCGGCAGGCUUAACACAUGCAAGUCGAGCGGGGUGAUGGUGCUUGCACUAUCACUUAGCGGCGGACGGGUGAGUAAUGCUUAGGAAUCUGCCUAUUAGUGGGGGACAACAUCUCGAAAGGGAUGCUAAUACCGCAUACGUCCUACGGGAGAAAGCAGGGGAUCACUUGUGACCUUGCGCUAAUAGAUGAGCAUAAGUCGGAUUAGCUAGUUGGUGGGGUAAAGGCCUACCAAGGCGACGAUCUGUAGCGGGUCUGAGAGGAUGAUCCGCACACUGGGACUGAGACACGGCCCAGACUCCUACGGGAGGCAGCAGUGGGGAAUAUUGGACAAUGGGGGGAACCCUGAUCCAGCCAUGCCGCGUGUGUGAAGAAGGCCUUAUGGCUGUAAAGCACUUUAAGCGAGGAGGAGGCUCUUUUGGUUAAUACCCAAGAUGAGUGGACGUUACUCGCAGAAUAAGCACCGGCUAACUCUGUGCCAGCCGCCGCCGUAA